rnacentral:lncRNA from 1 species
AAGAAUUGAACUCACAACCCUGGGUUUAGCAGGCCAAUGAUCAAACCACUGAGCUAUCCCUCCCCCUGCAGUGACAUGAGAUAGAGCCAGGUGGAGGAGAGUGUGGGAGAUGCAGCUCUGGGAAAGUGCAGCAUUUGUACAGCUGAUGUGGAGAACUUGGAACUCAUUACACAGGGGACAGAGAGACAGGAAAUAUCCUUGUCGGGUGAAGCCAUCACUGAAAUGUAAAGAGUGUAAAUAACAUGAGAAGAGGGUGAGCAAGAGUGAGUGGGGGGUGGGCAGGGUGGCCAGGGGGUUAGCAAUUCCCGGGAUGAGGCUGGGCAGAGGUGGGAAGGAAAUGGGGAUUUUCAACAGGCCUGUGUAGCCCUGAAGUCAGGCCCACCUAGUCACCAAGGCUACAGGAAGGGGAAGACCCUCAUAGCCCAGCAGGGAACCCUCCCCCUCCCCAUCUACCAGUGUCCUGUGUUGGCAUUAAAGACACUUAAACAUGAUCAUGGCCUCGCUCGUCCCACCCACACCAGGGGACUUUUUGAUUCCUCUGCAAUCCACAAAACUGCCUGGGCUCCUACGUUACUGUUGUAAAAGUUCCUUUGAUGCCUAAGAGCAGGUGCCCUGCUGCCUAGCUCUAGCUGCUCAGACGCUUAUCUCGUGCUGAAGCUCCAAGCCGAUCCUCAAAUUGAGGGAAGAUGGGUGCUCCUCUGCAUCUGCUGCCUGAUCCAGGAGGUGUUCUCUGAGGAUGCCUAACAAAGUGGGAGGAGAACUUUCACCCAGGGGUUAGGUUGCACAUCUGGUAUGUAAGAGAACCUGGUUCAAUUCUCCCCUCUGGGGAGGUGAAGGGAUCCGUAUAGGGGUCUCUCACCUCUCCGGUGACUACACCAACCACUGGAUUAUAGAGUUAUUCUUAUGCUUUAUCAGAUCUGGUUAAUAUUCAGUUAUUUAAUGAAACGGAAACAAUUUCUACAAGAGAGACCACAUCAAGUGGGUAUUGCUACACAAUUCCUAGUACCUCUAUGCAUUCUGCAAUAUAUAUUGUGAACUAAUAAAGAUAAUUUUAUUCUCCA